AACAUAUAAGACUGUGUGUUUGUUGACUGGAGGAAGAGAUGCUAUAAAGACCACCUUUUAAAACUUCCCAAAUACUGCCACUGAUGUCCUGAUGGAGGGUUGCGCUGAUCCUCCCGCCUCAGUCUCCCUAAGUGCUGAGAUGUUGCAGGAAGUCAGGGACCCCGAACAGAGAGAUCGGCUGGAGCCGUGGCAGAGGAACAUAAAUUUUGAAGAUUUCAUUUUAAUAUGGACACUUAUCAGUUCCCAAAUAAUACUUUUAUAAUUUUUUAUGCCUGUCUUUGCUUUAAUCUCUUAAUCCUGUUAUCUUCAUAAGCUAAGGAUGUACGUCACCUCAGGACCACUGUGAUAAUUGUGUUAACUGUACAGAUUGAUUGCAAAACAUGUGUGUUUGAACAAUAUGAAAUCAGUGCACCUUGAAAAAGAGCAGAAUAACAGCAAUUUUUAGGGAACAAGGGAAGACAACUAUAAGGUCUGACUGCCUGCGGGGUCGGGCAAAGGGAGCCAUAUUUUUCUUCUUGCAGAGAGCCUAUAAAUAGACCUGCAAGUAGGAGAGAUAUUGCUAAUUUCUUUUGCUAGCAUGGAAUAUUAAUAUUAACACCCUGGGAAAGGAAUGCAUUCCUGGGGGGAGGUCUAUAAAUGGCCGCUCUGGGAAUGUCUAUCCUACGCAAUGGAGAUAAGGACUGAGAUACGCCCUGGUCUCCUGCAGUACCCUCAGGCUUACUAGGGUGGUGAAAAACUCCGCCCUGGUAAAUUUGUGGUCAGACCAGUUUUCUGCUCUCGAACACUGUUUUCUGUUGUUUAAGAUGUUUAUCAAGACAAUACGUGCACCGCUGAACACAGACCCUUAUCAGUAGUUCUCCUUUUUGCCCUUUGAAGCAUGUGAUCUACUCCCUGUUUUACACCCCCUCACCUUUUGAAACCCUUAAUAAAAAACUUGCUGGUUUGAGGCUCAGGU
rnacentral:lncRNA from 10 species